ensembl:lncRNA
AUGCAGAAAGCUUUGUCUCUGCGGCAUCCGGGCCUGAUGCAGCUCGGCAAAGGCCUCCUGGGAGAUUCGCCUCCCGAGUUGGGACACGAGGCGGUGCCCCAGCCCUCUACCCACAAUGCCACAGCAGUGGUAUCUGCGGCAGGUGUGGUGCCGUACCUCCACGGUCGAGGUGGAGCCGGAGAACCAAACAGCACCCACUCUCUCUCCACAAACCAUUCGGCCUCCUCCUCUGCCUCCUGUGACAGGCAGCCGGCUCCUCCAGGCACCUUAAUGAGCUCCCAUCCGCAGGGACAGGGCUACUCCCUGGGUAUCAGUAAUUCAGGCCUCGGGCCGCCUCCACCUAAACCCCCCGGAGGAAUUUAUACGUCACUGGGCCAUCAUAACAGCAGCGAUGGAUGCCCCCUGGCUAGCAUGGUAAGCGGCGGUCAGGGCUCCCUUCUGGGCGACCCUCCUAAAGAAGUCAGACUGCCCUCCAAUCCUUAUCUGAACCUGGCCAGUGUGAUGCCGGGGGUGGUGCUGCAAGGUGAGCAUCUUUGA